rfam:Colletotrichum gloeosporioides Cg-14 contig04170, whole genome shotgun sequence.
GGUCUAUUAGUCUAGUUGGUUAGGACGUCGGAUUCUGAUGAUAUCAGAACUUUCCGUAAGCCCAGGUUCGAAUCCUGGAUGGACCU